GACGAACGCUGGCGGCGUGCCUAACACAUGCAAGUCGAGCGGAGAAAUUAAAGCUUGCUUUAAUUUCUUAGCGGCGGACGGGUGAGUAACACGUGGGCAACCUGCCCUUGAGAGGGGGAUAACACAGAGAAAUUUGUGCUAAUACCGCAUAACAUUUAGACUUCGCCUGGAGUUUAAAUCAAAGGAGUAAUCCGCUCAAGGAUGGGCCCGCGGCGCAUUAGCUAGUUGGUGAGGUAAUGGCUCACCAAGGCGACGAUGCGUAGCCGACCUGAGAGGGUGAUCGGCCACAUUGGAACUGAGCCACGGUCCAGACUCCUACGGGAGGCAGCAGUGGGGAAUAUUGCGCAAUGGGGGAAACCCUGACGCAGCAACGCCGCGUGAGCGAUGAAGGCCUUCGGGUUGCAAAGCUCUGUCUUUGGGGACGAUAAUGACGGUACCCAAGGAGGAAGCCACGGCUAACUUCGUGCCAGCCGCCGCCGUAACAC
rnacentral:rRNA from 1 species